ACGAAGGGUGCAAGCGUUACUCGGAAUUACUGGGCGUAAAGGGUGCGUAGGUGGUUUUUUAAGUCUGCUGUGAAAUCCCCGGGCUCAACCUGGGAAUGGCAGUGGAUACUGGCUGGCUAGAGUGUGUCAGAGGAUGGUGGAAUUCCCGGUGUAGCGGUGAAAUGCGUAGAGAUCGGGAGGAACAUCAGUGGCGAAGGCGGCCAUCUGGGACAACACUGACGCUGAAGCACGAAAGCGUGGGGAGCAAACAGGA
rnacentral:rRNA from 1 species